rnacentral:lncRNA from 1 species
UGUUUUACAGUUACCCAGAAGGGUAUCGAUAGCCAUGAUAGCCCGACGCCGGAUCUGAUCGGCAGAGUCAAGAACCCGUUGGUCUUCAUCUGCCGAUCCAGGGACUUCUGAUGUACUGCGAUGGAGUUUUAGGGCCUCGUGAGCAAAGCGCUGCCUCUCCCGUGUCAAAUCGGCAAUGACAGAAGGUAGCUCUUGGAGCUUUUUCUCUUCGGCACUAAUUGCCUU